AUCACAUAAUCAUCUCCUUAUUCAUCCUAAAUCAUUCUACUCUUUCGCAUACAAACUCAGAUUAUCUAAAAAUUUUAUGGUAUCAGAGCCAGGUUCCAAAGAAUCAGAGUUCUUGUUUUGAAACGUUGAGAAACAAGUUUGAAGCUUUGAAGCCAUCCGUGGAAAGAAUCUGAGAUUCAGAUUCUCUAAAUCUCAUAUGGUAUCAGAGCCAGGUUCCAAAUCCAUCCUUUUGUGUAUACACUUCUUCAACUCGCCAUCUUCAGGGAAUACUCUUGUGGAACUUUCUCCUUCUGCUCACUUAACUCCCCUCCUCAAGCCAUCCAUACUUCUCCAUGAUAAAAUGCACCUAUGUCUAAUCUUCUCUGGAGGUUGAGUGGUGUUUCAGGUGCACAAGGAGUCAGGUGCACAAGGAGUGUUCUUAGUUCUUCACCAAUCCAAGAGAAAGAGGAUGGCAUUGCCCAUUGUCAUGAGCAAUGGAGAGCGGUUACUGAAGUGGUUAUGAGCCACUGGUUAGUGAAGACUCACGGCUGCUCACUUCCAAGCUUGGACCCUCAUUCUAUCCAAGCUUGAGGAGGGGAGUUAAGUGAGCAGAAGGAGAAAGUUCCACAAGAGUAUUCCCUGAAGAUGGCGAGUUGAAGAA
rnacentral:lncRNA from 1 species